rnacentral:rRNA from 1 species
AGCAGCCGCCGCGGUAAUACGGAGGGUGCAAGCGUUAAUCGGAAUUACUGGGCGUAAAGCGCACGCAGGCGGUCUGUCAAGUCAGAUGUGAAAUCCCCGGGCUUAACCUGGGAACUGCAUUUGAAACUGGCAGGCUAGAGUCUUGUAGAGGGGGGUAGAAUUCCAGGUGUAGCGGUGAAAUGCGUAGAGAUCUGGAGGAAUACCGGUGGCGAAGGCGGCCCCCUGGACAAAGACUGACGCUCAGGUGCGAAAGCGUGGGGAGCAAACAGGACUAGAGACCCGUGUAGUCCCUGUCUCUUAUAC